rnacentral:rRNA from 1 species
GAUGAACGCUGGCGGCGUGCCUAAUACAUGCAAGUCGAGCGAACAGACGAGGAGCUUGCUCCUCUGACGUUAGCGGCGGACGGGUAGGUAACACGUGGAUAACCUACCUAUAAGACUGGGAUAACUUCGGGAAACCGGAGCUAAUACCGGAUAAUAUAUUGAACCGCAUGGUUCAAUAGUGAAAGACGGUUUUGCUGUCACUUAUAGAUGGAUCCGCGCCGCAUUAGCUAGUUGGUAAGGUAACGGCUUACCAAGGCGACGAUGCGUAGCCGACCUGAGAGGGUGAUCGGCCACACUGAAACUGAGACACGGUCCAGACUCCUACGGGAGGCAGCAGUAGGGAAUCUUCCGCAAUGGGCGAAAGCCUGACGGAGCAACGCCGCGUGAGUGAUGAAGGUCUUCGGAUCGUAAAACUCUGUUAUUAGGGAAGAACAAAUGUGUAAGUAACUAUGCACGUCUUGACGGUACCUAAUCAGAAAGCCACGGCUAACUACGUG